UAAUUGAAGAGUUUGAUCAUGGCUCAGAUUGAACGCUGGCGGCAGGCCUAACACAUGCAAGUCGAGCGGUAACAGGAGAAAGCUUGCUUUCUUGCUGACGAGCGGCGGACGGGUGAGUAAUGUAUGGGGAUCUGCCCGAUAGAGGGGGAUAACUACUGGAAACGGUGGCUAAUACCGCAUAAUGUCUACGGACCAAAGCAGGGGCUCUUCGGACCUUGCACUAUCGGAUGAACCCAUAUGGGAUUAGCUAGUAGGUGGGGUAAAGGCUCACCUAGGCGACGAUCUCUAGCUGGUCUGAGAGGAUGAUCAGCCACACUGGGACUGAGACACGGCCCAGACUCCUACGGGAGGCAGCAGUGGGGAAUAUUGCACAAUGGGCGCAAGCCUGAUGCAGCCAUGCCGCGUGUAUGAAGAAGGCCUUAGGGUUGUAAAGUACUUUCAGCGGGGAGGAA
rnacentral:rRNA from 1 species